rnacentral:rRNA from 1 species
UACGUAGGUGACAAGCGUUGUCCGGAUUUACUGGGCGUAAAGAGCGCGCAGGCGGUCGUUCAAGUCGAGUGUGAAAGCCCCCGGCUCAACUGGGGAGGGGCACUCGAUACUGAUCGACUCGAAGGCAGGAGAGGGUAGUGGAAUUCCCGGUGUAGUGGUGAAAUGCGUAGAUAUCGGGAGGAACACCAGUGGCGAAGGCGACUACCUGGCCUGUUCUUGACGCUGAGGCGCGAAAGCUAGGGGAGCAAACGGG